AGUGAACGCUGGCGGUAGGCCUAACACAUGCAAGUCGAACGACAGCACAGUAAGAGCUUGCUCUUACGGGUGGCGAGUGGCGGACGGGUGAGGAAUACAUCGGAAUCUACUUUUUCGUGGGGGAUAACGUAGGGAAACUUACGCUGAUACCGCGUACGACCUACGGGUGAAAGCAGGGGAUCUUCGGACCUUGCGCGAUUGAAUGAGCCGAUGUCGGAUUAGCUAGUUGGCGGGGUAAAGGCCCACCAAGGCGACGAUCCGUAGCUGGUCUGAGAGGAUGAUCAGCCACACUGGAACUGAGACACGGUCCAGACUCCUACGGGAGGCAGCAGUGGGGAAUAUUGGACAAUGGGCGCAAGCCUGAUCCAGCCAUACCGCGUGGGUGAAGAAGGCCUUCGGGUUGUAAAGCCCUUUUGUUGGGAAAGAAAAGCAGCAGGUUAAUACCCCGCUGUUCUGACGGUACCCAAAGAAUAAGCACCGGCUAACUUCGUG
rnacentral:rRNA from 1 species